AAACAACACCGGAACACGGCGGUCAUCAAAGACUUCCGGUUUCGAACUUCCGCCGCGGGUCGCGCUUUUUGGGGUCCGGUGUUUUUAUUAAAGAAAUUAUGCAUUAUUCUUGAUCACUGUAAUAGAGGAGCACUGAGAAGAAUUGAAAAGUGUUUAGGGGGUUGAGGGAGUUGAGGAGGUUGAAGAGGUUUGGGGCGGUUGAGGGAGUUGAGAUUGUAGAGGUUUAGGGGAUUUAGGGAGAUUGAGUGGGAUUGAGUAGUAUUGAGGUUGAGGAGGAUUGAGGUGGUUCAGUAAGAUUGAGGAGGUUCAGUAGGAUUGAGUAGUAUUGAGGUUGAGGAGGAUUGAGGUGGUUCAGUAAGAUUGAGGAGGUUCGGUAGGAUUGAGUAGUAUUGAGGUUGAGGAGGAUUGAGGUGGUUCAGUAAGAUUGAGGAGGUUCAGUAGGAUUGAGUAGUAUUGAGGUUGAGGAGGAUUGAGGUGGUUCAGUAAGAUUGAGGAGGUUCGGUGGGAUUGAGUAGUAUUGAGGUUGAAGAGGAUUGAGGUGGUUUAGUAAGAUUGAGGAGGUUCAGUAGGAUUAAGUAGUAUUGAGGUUGAGGAGGAUUGAGGUGGUUCAGUAAGAUUGUGGAGGUUGAGUGAGAUUGAGUAGUAUUGAGGCUGAGGAGGAUUGAGGUUGAUAGUAUUGAGGUGGUUCAGUAAAAUUUAGGAGGUUGACUGAGAUUGAGGAGGUUGAGUAGCAUUGAGAUUGAGUAGUAUUGAGGUUGAGGAGGAUUAAGAUGGUUCAGUAAGAUUGAGAGGGUUGAGUGAGAUUGUGGAGGUUGAGUAGGAUUGAGUAGUAUUGAGGUUGAGGAGGAUUGAGGUGGUUUAGUAAGAUUGAGGAGGUUCAGUAGGAUUGAUUAGUAUUGAGGUUGAGGAGGAUUAAGAUGGUUCAGUAAGAUUGAGAAGGUUGAGUGAGAUUGUGGAGGUUGAGUAGGAUUGAGUAGUAUUGAGAUUGAGUAGUAUUGAGGUUGAGGAGGAUUGAGGUGGUUUAGUAAGAUUGAGGAGGUUGAGUAGGAUUGAGUAGUAUUGAGGUUGAGGAGGAUUGAGGUGGUUUAGUAAGAUUGAGGAGGUUCAGUAGGAUUGAUUAGUAUUGAGGUUGAGGAGGAUUAAGAUGGUUCAGUAAGAUUGAGAAGGUUGAGUGAGAUUGUGGAGGUUGAGUAGGAUUGAGUAGUAUUGAGAUUGAGUAGUAUUGAGGUUGAGGAGGAUUGAGGUGGUUUAGUAAGAUUGAGGAGGUUCAGUAGGAUUGAGUAGUAUUGAGGUUGAGAAGGAUUGAGGUGGUUUAGUAAGAUUGAGGAGGUUCAGUAGGAUUGAGUAGUAUUGAGGUUGAGGAGGAUUGAGGUGGUUUAGUAAGAUUGAGGAGGUUCAGUAGGAUUGAGUAGUAUUGAGGUUGAGGAGGAUUGAGGUGGUUUAGUAAGAUUGAGGAGGUUCAGUAGGAUUGAGUAGUAUUGAGGCUGAGGAGGAUUGAGGUUGAUAGUAUUUAGGUGGUUCAGUAAAAUUUAGGAGGUUGACUGAGAUCGAGGAGGUUGAGUAGCAUUGAGAUUGAGUAGUAUUAAGAUUGAGUAGUAUUGAGGUUGAGGAGGAUUAAGAUGGUUCAGUAAGAUUGAGAAGGUUGAGUGAGAUUGUGGAGGUUGAGUAGGAUUGAGUAGUAUUGAGGUUGAGGAGGAUUGAGGUGGUUCAGUAAGAUUGAGAAGGUUGAGUGAGAUUGAGGAGGUUCAGUAGGAUUAAGUAGUAUUGAGGUUGAGGAGGAUUGAGGUGGUUUAGUAAGAUUGAGGAGGUUCAGUAGGAUUGAGUAGUAUUGAGGUUGAGGAGGAUUGAAGAGGUUGAGUAGUGAGUAGGGUUUGGCUUUGCACACAAAUGACUCAGGAUAAGUUUUUUUUAUUUUGUGUACAAAUUUUGCUCUUGCUUUCCAAAUGUCCAAAAUUCUGGCAUACAUUCUUGUUAGGCUGCAUUUAAUUAAUCAAUUAUUUAUCAACCUUUUAUCAAUUUAAUUUUACAUUAAUUAUA